AGUGAACGCUGGCGGCGUGCUUAACACAUGCAAGUCGAACGAGAACGGAAUAUAGCUUGCUAUAUUUGUCAGCUAAGUGGCGCACGGGUGAGUAAUGUAUAGAUAACCUGCCCUUAAGAAAGGAAUAACAGUUGGAAACGACUGCUAAUGCCCUAUAUGCCUUUAAUACAUAAGUAUGCAAGGGAAACGCUUUAGUGCUUAAGGAUGGGUCUGUAUGGUAUCAGCUUGUUGGUGAGGUAAUGGCUCACCAAGGCUAUGACGCCUAACUGGUUUGAGAGGAUGAUCAGUCACACUGGAACUGAGACACGGUCCAGACUCCUACGGGAGGCAGCAGUGGGGAAUAUUGCACAAUGGACGAAAGUCUGAUGCAGCAACGCCGCGUGGAGGAUGACACAUUUCGGUGCGUAAACUCCUUUUAUAUAGGAAGAUAAUGACGUUACUCGCAGAAUAAGCACCGGCUAACUCUGUGCCAGCAGCCGCGGUAA
rnacentral:rRNA from 1 species